GCUUCCGCUUCAAGUUCCUCCUCUUCAAUUGCAGGUUUUUCAUCUUUCUCUCCAACAACUAGUUCUUCAGGUUUCUCUUCAAGUGCCAGUUCUUCAGGUGUUUCCUCCUUUGCCAGCUCUUCAGGUGUUUCCUCCUUUGCCAGCUCUUCAGGUGUUUCUUUAGCUGCCGGUUCUUCAGGUUUCUCUUCAACCUCCGGUUCUUGUGGUAUUUCCUCUACUUGUACUUCAGAUUUCUCCUCAAUUGUUGGUUCUUCAGGUUUCUCUCUAACCGCUGCUGCAUUAGGUUUCUCUUCAUUGGCUGGUUCUUCAGGUUUUUCUUCAACUACCGAUUCUUCAGGAUUUUCCUCAAUGUUUGGAAAGGGAGCGACAUCAUUAUUGGUAUUGCAUGGAAUUUCACUGCCAGUUUUGUCAUUCAAGUCCACAACUAGUAUAUUCUGCAAAAGAGUUUAAUGUUUCACUUAGUCUUUCAAUAAAGAAGCAGAUGCGAAUCAUUACAUAUACAUAACUAAUAACAUGGAUAAACUUUAUGACAGUAGUUGACCCUUACCUUUUCCACAAGAGUUACUUUUGCAGGUUUCUCCUCUUCAAGUGCUGGUUUCUCUUCAAAUGAUAGUUCAUUAGGUGUUUCUUCCCGUGUUGGUUCUUCAUGUGCUUCUUCAGUUACUGGUUUUUCAGGUUUCUCCUCAAUUGUUGGUUCUUCGCUUGUCUUCUCAACUGAUGGUUCCUCAUGCUUCUCUCCCGUUGUUGAUUUUUCGGGUUUCUCUUCAGUUGUCGAUGGUUCAGUUUUUUUCUCAACCGCUGGUUCUUUUGGCUUCUCCAAAACCAUUUCCGAUUUCUCUUCAGUUGGUGGUUCUUCAUGGUUUUUUUCAACUACUGGUUCUUCUCUUUUUUCCUCAACUGAUGCAUAGUCAGCAAUAUCGUUGUUGGUAUUGCUUGGAAUUGCAUUGUCUGUCUUGUCCUUUGAGCUUACAAUUGGCAUAUUCUGCUAGAAAAAUAUAAAGUUUCAUGUAGUCUUUCAACAGAGAAACCAAUGUAAAUUUGUUGCACAUAUAAAGCUAACAAAUAUGAUGGAUAGACUUUGCGAGAGUGUUUAAUACUCACCUUCUCCGGAAGAGCUUCCGUUUCAGGUUCCUCUUCAAUUUCUGCUUUUUCAUCUUUCUCUUCAACAACUAGUUCUUCAGGUGUCUCUUCAACCGUUGAUUCUUCAGGUUUCUCUUCAAGUGUUAGUUCUUGAGGUGUUUCCUCCUUUGCUAGCUCUUCAGGUGUUUCUGUAACUGCCGGUUCUUCAGGUUCCUCUUCAGCCACCGGCUGUUGACGUAUCUCCUCUACUUGUACUUCAGAUUUCUCCUCAAUUGUUGGUUCUUCAGGUUUCUCCUUAACCGCUGGUACAUCAGGUUUAUCCUCAUUGACUGGUUCUUCAACUGCUGAUUCUUCUAGAUUUUCCUCAAUGUCUGGAAAGCGAGCAACAUCAUUAUUGGUAUUGCAUGGAAUUUCAUUUCCAGUUUCGUUAUUCGAGUCUACAAUUAGCAUAUUCUGCAAAAAGAAUUUAAUGUUUCAUUUAGCCUUUCAAUAAAGAAGCAUAUGCGAAUAACAGUACAUGCAUAACUAACAAAAUGGAUAAACUUUGUGAUAGUGCUUGAUCCUUACCUUUGCCAAAAGAGUUACCUUUUCAGGUUUCUCCUCUUCAACGGUUGGUUCUUCAUGUUUCUUUUCAAAUGCUAGUUCCUUGGUUGUUUCUUCCGGUGUUGGUUCCAUAGGUGUUUCUUCAGUUACUUGUUUUUCGGGUUUCUCUUCAAUUAUUGGUUCUUCGAUUGUCUUCUCAACUGAUGGUUCUUCAAGAUUUUCUCCCACUGUUGGUUUUUGGGGUUUCUCUUCUAUUGUUGGUUGUUCAGGAAUUUUCUCAACUGGUGGUUCUGCUGGAUAUUCCAAAACCAUUGAUUCUUCAGAUUUCUCUUCAAUUGAUGGUUCUUCAUGGGUUUUUUCAACUACUGGUUCUUCAAUUUUUUCCUCAACAGAUGCAUAGUCAACAAUAUCAUUAUUGGUAUUGCUUGGAAUUGCAUCGUCUGUCAUGUCCUUUGAGUUUACUUUUGGCAUAUUCUGCAAUAGAGUUUCAUGUAAUCUUUCAACAGAUAAACAGAUGUAAAUUUGUUGCACAUAUAAAGCUAAUAUGGUGGAUAAACUUUGUGACAGUGUUUAAUCCUCACCUUCUCCUGAAGAUCUUCCGCUUCAAGUUCCUCCUCUACAAUUGCAGUUUUUUCCUCUUCCCCUUCAACAACUAGUUCUUCAGGUGCCUCUUCAGCCGUUGAUUCUUCAGGUUUCUCUUCAAGUGCUAGUUCUUCAGGUGUUUCCUCCUUUGCCAGCUCUUCAGGUGUUUCUUUAGAUGCCGAUUCUUCAGGUUUCUCUUCAGCCAUCGGUUCUUGAGGUAUUUCCUCUACUUGUACUUCAUAUUUCUCCUCAAUUGUUUGUUCUUCAGGUUUCUCUUCAGGUUUCUCCUUAACCACUGGUACAUCAGGUUUCUCUUGAUUAACUGGUUCUUUGGGUUUUUCUUCAACAGCCGAAUCUUCAGGAUUUUCCUCAAUGUCUUGAAAGCAAGCAAUAUCUUUAGUGGUAUUGCAUGGAAUUUCACUGCCAGUUUUGUUGUUCGAGUCUACAAUUAGCAUAUUCUGCAAAAGGAAUUUGAUGUUUCAUUUAGCCUUUUAAUAAAGAAGCAGAUGUGAAUAACAUUACAUGCAUAACUUACAAAAUGGAUAAAUUUUGUGACAGUCCUUGACCCUUACCUUUUCAGGUUUCUCCUCUUCAACAGCUGAUUCUUCAUGUUUCUCUUCAAAUGCUAGUUCUCUGGGUGUUUCUUCCCGUAGUGCUUCUUCAUGUGCUUCUUCAGUUACUGGUUUUUCAGGUUUCUCCUCAAUUGUUGGUUCUUUGAUUGUCUCCUCAACAGAUGGUUCUUCAAGCUUCUCUCCCGUUGUUGAUUUUUCUGGUUUCUCUUCAAUUGCUGGUUGUUCAGGAAUUUUCUCAACAGCUGGUUCUUCUGGCUUCUCUAAAACCAUUGAUUCUUCAGCUUUCUCUUCAAUUGAUGGUUCUUCAUGGUUUUUUUCAACUAUUGGUUCUUCAGUUUUUUCCUCAACGGAUGCAUAGUCAACAAUAUCAUUGUUGGUAUUGCUUGGAAUUGCAUCGUCUGUCAUGUCCUUUGAGUUUACUUUUGGCAUAUUCUACAAUAAAGUUUCAUGUAGUCUUUCAAUAGAUAAACAGAUGUAAAUUUGUUGCAACAUAUAAAGCUAAUAUGGUGGAUAAACUUUGUGACAGUGUUUAAUCCUCACCUUCUCCCGAAGAUCUUCCGCUUUAAGUUCCUCCUCUUCAAUUGCUGUUUUUUCAUCUUUCGUUUCAACAACUAGUUCUUCAGGUGCCUCUUCAGCCGUUGAUUCUUCAGGUUUUUCUUCAAGUGCCAGCUCUUCAGGUGUUUCCUCCUUUGCCAUCUCUUCAGGUGUUUCCUCCUUUGCCAGCUCUUCAGGUGUUUCUUUAGCUGCUGGUUCUUCAGGUUUCUCUUCAGCCGCCAGUUCUUGAGGUAUCUCCUUUUCUACUUCAGAUUUCUCCUCAACUGUUGGUUCUUCAGGUUUCUCUUCAUUAACUGGUUCUUUGGGUUUUUCUUCAACAGCCGAAUCUUCAGGAUUUUCCUCAAUGUCUGGAAAGUGAGCAACAUCUUUAUUGGUAUUGCAUGCAAUUUCACUGUCAGUUUUGUCGUUCAAGUCUACAAUUAGCAUAUUCUGCAAAAAGAAUUUGAUGUUUCAUUUAGCCUAUUAAUAAAGAAGCAGAUGUGAAUAACAUUACAUGCAUAACUUACAAAAUGGAUAAACUUUGUGAUGGUCCUUGACCCUUACCUUUCCAGGCUUCUCCUCUUCAACGGCCAGUUCUUGUUUCUCUUCAAAUGCUAGUUCCCUGGGUGUUUCUUCCUGUAUUGGUUCUUCAUGUGCUUCUUCAGGUACUGGUUUUUCAGGUUUCUCCUCAAUUGUUGGUUCUUCGAUUGUCUCCUCAACAGAUGGUUCUUCAAGGUUCUCUCCCGUUGUUGAGUCUUCUGGUUUCUCUUCAAUUGCUGGUUGUUCAGAAAUUUUCUCAACAGCUGGUUCUUCUGGCUUCUCCAAAACCAUUGAUUCUUCAGCUUUCUCUUCAAUUAAAGGUUCUUCAUGGUUUUUUUCAACUACUGUUUCUUCAGUUUUUUCCUCAACGGAUGCAUAGUCAACAACAUCAUUGUUGGUAUUGCUUGGAAUUGCAUCGUCUGUCAUGUCCUUUGAGCUUACUUUUGGCAUAUUCUGCAAUAAAGUUUCAUGUAGUCUUUCAAUAGAUAAACAGAUGUAAAUUUGUUGCACAUAUAAAGCCAAUAUGGUGGAUACACUUUGUGACAGUGUUUAAUCCUCACCUUCUCCUGAAGAUCUUCCGCUUCAAGUUCUUCCUCUUCAAUUGCUGUUUUUUCAUCUCUCUCUUCAACAACUUGUUCUUCAGGUGCCUCUUCAGCCGUUGAUUCUUCAGGUUUCUCUUCAAGCACUAGUUCUUCAGGUGUUUCCUCCUUUGCCAGCUCUUCAGGUGUUUCUUUAGCUGCCAGUUCUUCAGGUUUCUCUUCAGCUGCCGAUUCUUGAGGUAUUUCCUUUACCUGUACUUUAGAUUUCUCCUCAAAUGUUGGUUCUUCAGGUUUCUCCUUAACCGCAGGUACAUCAGGUUUCUCUUCAGCUGCUGGUUUUUGAGGUUUCUCCUCUACUUGUACCUCGGAUUUCUCCUCAACCAUCGGUUCUUCAGGUUUCUCCUCAACCUCUG
rnacentral:lncRNA from 1 species